UGAGUACGAGAUGCUACGGCAUCGAAGCAGUCUAUGUCAUACUUCCAAGAAAAGCUUGCACUGUCAGAAACAGAUAAUGCCUGUACCAUAACCGACACAGGUGGGUAGGUAGAGUAUACUAAGGGGCGCGAGAUAACUCUCUCUAAGGAACUCGGCAAAAUGACUCCGUAACUUCGGGAGAAGGAGUGCCUUAUUUUUAAGGUUGCAAUAACAAGAUCCAAGCAACUGUUUACCAAAAACACAGGUCUCCGCUAAGUCGUAAGACGAUGUAUGGGGGCUGACGCCUGCCCAGUGCCAGAAGGUUAAAGAAGUCGGUUAGCAUUCGCGAAGCUGGUAACUGAAGCCCUGGUGAACGGCGGCCGUAACUAUAACGGUCCUAAGGUAGCGAAAUUCCUUGUCGGGUAAGUUCCGACCCGCACGAAAGGCGUAAUGAUUUGGAUACUGUCUCGGAGAGGGGCUCGGUGAAAUAGACUUGUCUGUGAAGAUGCGGACUACCUGCACCUGGACAGAAAGACCCUAUGAAGCUUUACUGUAACUUGAAAUUGAAAUUGGACUUUAUUUGCGCAGUAUAGGUGGAGGCGUUGAAAAUAUUCUUGCGGGAAUAUUGGAGCCAUCAGUGAGAUACCACUCUUGUAAUGUUAGAUUUCUAACUUUAUAUCAUUAUCUGGUUAAAGAACAGUUUCAGGCGGGCAGUUUGACUGGGGCGGUCGCCUCCCAAAUGGUAACGGAGGCGCACAAAGGUUUCCUCUGAACGGGUAGAAAUCGUAUCUAGAGUGUAAAGGCAUAAGGAAGCUUGACUGUGAGACCUACAAGUCGAGCAGGGACGAAAGUCGGUCUUAGUGAUCUGACGGUGCUGAGUGGAAAGGCCGUCACUCAACGGAUAAAAGUUACUCUAGGAUAACAGGCUGAUCUCCCCCAAGAGUUCACAUCGACGGGGAGGUUUGGCACCUCGAUGUCGGCUCAUCGCAUCCUGGGGCGGUAGUACGUCCCAAGGGUUGGGCUGUUCGCCCAUGAAAGCGGUACGCGAGCUGGGUUCAGAACGUCGUGAGACAGUUCGGUCCAUAUCCGGUGUAGGCGUUAGAAUAUUGAGAGGAGCCUUCUUUAGUACGAGAGGACCGAGAAGGACAUACCUCUGGUGUACCAGUUAUCGUGCCAACGGUAAACGCUGGGUAGCUAUGUAUGGAGUGGAUAACCGCUGAAAGCAUCUAAGUGGGAAGCCCACCUCAAGAUAAGUAUUCUCAUCAAAAAAA
rnacentral:rRNA from 1 species